AGGCCUAACACAUGCAAGUCGAGGGGCAGCACAAGGAGCAAUCUGAGGUGGCGACCGGCGCACGGGUGAGUAACACGUAUGCAACCUGCCUGUAAGCGGGGAAUAACCCGUUGAAAGACGGACUAAUACCGCAUAAUACUAAAUUACUGCAUGGUAAUUUAUUUAAACAUUUAUGGCUUACAGAUGGGCAUGCGCAUGAUUAGCUAGUUGGAGAGGUAACGGCUCCCCAAGGCAACGAUCAUUAGGGGUUCUGAGAGGAAGGUCCCCCACACUGGUACUGAGACACGGACCAGACUCCUACGGGAGGCAGCAGUGAGGAAUAUUGGUCAAUGGACGAGAGUCUGAACCAGCCAAGUCGCGUGCAGGAAGAAUGUCCUAUUGGAUUGUAAACUGCUUUUGCAGGGGAAUAAAGUGCAUCACGUGUGAUGUUUUGUAUGUACUCUGCGAAUAAGGAUCGGCUAACUCCGUGCCAGCAGCUGC
rnacentral:rRNA from 1 species